rnacentral:rRNA from 1 species
UACAGAGGGUGCGAGCGUUAAUCGGAAUUACUGGGCGUAAAGCGCGCGUAGGCGGCUUUGCAAGUCGGGUGUGAAAUCCCGAGGCUUAACCUGGGAACUGCAUUCGAGACUGCAUUGCUAGAGUAUGGGAGAGGGAAGUGGAAUUUCCGGUGUAGCGGUGAAAUGCGUAGAUAUCGGAAGGAACAUCAGUGGCGAAAGCGACUUCCUGGACCAAUACUGACGCUCAUGUGCGAAAGCGUGGGGAGCAAACAGG